UGCGACCACGCUAUGCCACAAAUUAGAUUACUAAAUAGUUAAGAUUUUGUCUUUAUCUGAUACGUUAGAAAGAUCGCUCAACAGAUAAAAACAAAACAUUGUCUAGGUCUCAUAGGCAGAUCAUAGAAGUAAUUAUUAAGUCUAUAAUAGAUAGUUACUGUGUUUUAAUCUCAGACCAAAUAAAAGUCAAGACAGAUCCCUGCGAACAACAAAGUGAAGCCUAUCAAAGUACGCCAUU